UGACAAACUACAAUAUGCUAACCUCUUCAACCACAAACAAACCAAGGAACCACAACAGACAGUGGAUCAAAUGUUUUUGGUGAGCAGAGCCAGGUAGUCGAGUCAGCAGACCGAGACCCAGAUGCUGAAGAGCCAGCAGAGCAGGUUGAAUACCAAGACACCUAUUCCAUCUUGGAAAAUUACAGUGGCCAGGAAUAUCAACUCCCUCAGCAUUGAUGGUGUGCAUGUCACCUGCUGAACCUCAUUGCAACAACAGAUUCUGUGUUGGCAGAAACAAAUGGUGAUAGCUACAAAAGGUUGUCCAGGUGGUCUUUUGCCAAAUGCCAAGCCAUGUGGAAUAAAACGGGCCGGUCAACCUUAGCUGCUGAAGUUGUAGAGAAUGAGUGCAAACUGCAGUUGAUCCAUCCAAAUCAAACACUCAACUUACCUGGCUGUGGAGAGUAUCGCACAUAUCAUACAAGAGAAGGGGGAGGAUGCCAUAAGAAAUGUGUGUGAAGAAUUAAAAGUGAAACUGUUGAGCCUGGCAGAAAUGUCCUUAUUGAAUGAGUACUGCAAAGUGAUGAAGCCUUUGGUCUCAGCUUUGAACAUUCUACAGUCUGAGACCAACACAGAUAUGGGGUGGCUGCUGCCAGUGAUCUUCUUACUAAAAACUUAACCUCAAAGGCUGGAAGCAUCUUGCCAAAUGUGCCUACCACUUAUCAGAGCCAUUCAGAACGGUCUCCAAAAGCGAUUUGGAGAAAUGAUGGAGGAGCCACAGCUUAUUGCUGCUGCAAUCCUUCUGCCAAAGUUCAAGAUGUGUUGGACUGACAAAGCUGAUGUCAUCACAGCCGGUUUGGCGUACCUGAAGAAUCAUCUUGACACAAUCACACAGGACAAGACUGAGCAUCUAAGGCAGCAUUCAUCUGAUGAAGAGGAUUUCUUCUCAUCACUGACAAUCGGUCAGAAGGUACAGGGGAGCUGGAUGGGUAUCUUUCUAUUCCAUCGGACAAAAUUGAUUUACUUCAUUUGUUUCCGUACAUAAAGAAGUUGUCCCUCAAACUCAACACAGGCCUGCCUGCAUCUGCCGCCUGUGAACGUCUUUUUAGCUGUGCUGGACUGCUCUUCACUGCAAAGCGAGCCAGGAUAGGCUCAAUUAACUUAGAAAAUCAGUUCUUACUGAAACUGAAUGGCAAAUUCAGAGGAAAGUGAAGUGAGUUAAGUGUUCGAUAGGUAGUUCCACUAAAAAUAUGCCUUUUGAACAUUCCUUUGAA